CCUCAAUCUAUAGAUUGAUCUAAAUGUGUCUGUUCCUGGAUUUCAGGUCUAGACCUGAGUCAACUGAGCUUCUCCAGUGUGUGGUGAUCCUUAAAUUGGACUUGGAGUCAUGAGAAAAGGUGCUGGAAAACUUGGUGCUGGCUCUGAAUUGCCAUUCAAGCACACAGCUCAAGGAAAGGAUGGAAAAGGAGCCAAAAGCUUCGUGUGAGUCAAGAGGUGCAGAAGUGCUGCCAAGCAUUGGUUCCCACCAUGGCAGGAACGACUCCUGGGGUGGUGAAUUCCAAAGAAACGGCUCUGUGGUGGCUGGCACCGACUGCAGCAGGAAAGUCAUGCAGAGAGAGGAACAAGGCAGCAGUGCCCUGCUUGGCACACCUGCUCCAGCAGUUGAGGCUGGACAAUUCCCUUCAGCAAAGUCCACUCUGCCACUGUUAGACUGGAGAAACAAGACCAAAGGGCUCAGCUAA
rnacentral:lncRNA from 12 species